UUUCUCUCACGGUUCUUAAUGUUGACGUAGCUGCUUGCCGAAGUUCUGCUAAAUUUGAUCUCACUUAUCAGGAAAUGUCCAAUCAGAAGCGAGUAUUUUACACAUCACAUUGGCGAAAAAUUCUGUUUCCAUACUAACCAAAGAUGCUGCGCAUACGCACAAGGAGGAGAAGGAAAUAUGAGAAAGUUUCCAUCUACCAAAUCCACUCACAAGGCUUUGGUCGGUACGAGGCUAUAGUAGAAGACACUUACCCAAGGUGACACGCAGCAGACUGAAUCCAGAACCAUGUGGUUGGGAAGCAAUCUCCUUACCACACAGCUAUGCCUGCGCCUCCACACACACACGGCGGUACUGAAAAGUCCCUGGCUUUAAGGAUAUCGCGAAAGGCUAGGUGGGAAGCCCAACCUUCCGAGUUGUUUUACAGGACUUAGAAAAAUUGAAGGAUUGCUGCUAUAGUCUGUGAAU